UGAGGAAUAUUGGACAAUGGGCGCAAGCCUGAUCCAGCCAUGCCGCGUGCAGGAUGACGGUCCUAUGGAUUGUAAACUGCUUUUGUACAGGAAGAAACAGUUCUACGUGUAGAACCUUGACGGUACUGUAAGAAUAAGGAUCGGCUAACUCCGUGCCAGCAGCCGCGGUAAUACGGAGGAUCCAAGCGUUAUCCGGAAUCAUUGGGUUUAAAGGUCCGUAGGCGGUUAGAUAAGUCAGUGGUGAAAGCCCAUCGCUCAACGGUGAACGGCCAUUGAUACUGUCUGACUUGAAUUAUUAGGAAGUAACUAGAAUAUGUAGUGUAGCGGUGAAAUGCUUAGAGAUUACAUGGAAUACCA
rnacentral:rRNA from 1 species